CUUUCUCAGAAAUUGCUAAAUUUGACAAUUUGUAGAGGCGAUCAGUCUGAGAAAGCUCACAAUUGAUGAUGACAUUGAUCUUUAAGCUGAGUUGGGUUAAAGCGAAUUGAUAAACAGUUUCAAAUGGUAAGUUGUGUUUGAGUUCAUUUGGAAGUCCGGUUUUUGUUGAUUUUUGAAGGGCUAGAGAGGCGUCAUAUUGAUCGAUGAGGGGGUAUUUGAGGAAAGUAGCUAAUUCACGAGCUAUUUUGAUAGAUCCUGAAUCAUCUUUCAUUGCUAUAAGCAAUGGAGACUGUAGUGCUUCCAUUUUUCUCACCUAAAUGCACCUCUAUCUUUCUCAAAACUAGCUUACUGAGGGAAUGAAUGAGAGAACCCAAGAUAAGGUUG
rnacentral:misc_RNA from 1 species